GACGAACGCUGGCGGCGUGCUUAACACAUGCAAGUCGAACGGAAAGGCCCUGCUUUUGCGGGGUGCUCGAGUGGCGAACGGGUGAGUAACACGUGAGUAACCUGCCUUUGACUUUGGGAUAACUUCAGGAAACUGGGGCUAAUACCGGAUAGGAGCUCCUGCUGCAUGGUGGGGUUCGGAAAGUUUCGGCGGUUGGGGAUGGACUUGCGGCUUAUCAGCUUGUUGGUGGGGUAGUGGCUUACCAAGGCUUUGACGGGUAGCCGGCCUGAGAGGGUGACCGGCCACAUUGGGACUGAGAUACGGCCCAGACUCCUACGGGAGGCAGCAGUGGGGAAUAUUGCACAAUGGGCGGAAGCCUGAUGCAGCAACGCCGCGUGCGGGAUGACGGCCUUCGGGUUGUAAACCGCUUUCGCCUGUGACGAAGCGUGAGUGGCGGUAAUGGGUAAAGAAGCACCGGCUAACUACGUG
rnacentral:rRNA from 1 species